rnacentral:lncRNA from 1 species
GCCAACAAAGGCUCAGCCACCUCAGCUGUGCCUCUGCCGCUUGGGCGGCUCACCAGCCAGCCUCUGAAGCAGAUCAUGCCAUCCUUUCUUUUUUAAAACCCAUGUCAUCACCAGAUCAUAACGGAAAUCAAUCUCCUCAAACCAUCAUGCAAAGGCAAAGGCGUAUCCAUAGCAACCCCAAAGGAAGGACACAGAGAUGCUCCAGUGGCUGCAGCAAAAAAAAGAGGUUAUCCUUAUCUGUUUAAAUACAGUACAAGACAGGCUUUGACAGCACAGUAGGCUAAGAACGCCAAUUUCUGACACAGUUCUUCCAUUCUCAGUACCUUUUAAGUACACCAGGGUAACAAGGGGCCAGCAGCCGCUUGCAGCUCUCUGCGCUGCUGUAAAUGGAUUUCAGUCUAAAGACCUGCCUCUUUGAAAUCAGCAAUUUCGCAUCUGUGUGCUUUAGCUGUCGUCCAGCCCACAGUGACGAGAGGCGUGUGUACAAGACAACUACACAAGGAUCGUUUUGUAAGCCUAGUUGGACCCCAGGACAAGGCAUACUCACACAUCAAACGCAUUUCCAGACACCCCCCCCCCCACGUCUGAACCCUCUAGGAUUAACUUUUGUCUUCAUUUAACACAAAUUCCUAAACACGUGCCCACAGAAAGCCUGCGCUCAGUUCGGUGUCACAGUAAGCAGGGGCCCCUGGCAAAUAUGAAGGAGAGUGGGCAAGCCU